rnacentral:rRNA from 1 species
GACGAACGCUGGCGGCGUGCCUAACACAUGCAAGUCGAACGGUGACGCCCCUUCUUUUUUGGCGGGUGUGGGUGAGUGGCGAAAGGGUGAGUUAAACGUCGGUAACCUGCCCCCUUCUUCUUGCUAACCCCAUGAAAGUUUGGCUAAUACGGGAUAUUCUGGGUCUGUCGCAUGCUGGGUCUGGGUAAGUAAUUGUUUCGGUGGGGGAUGGGCUCGGGGCCUAUCCGCUUGUUGGGGGGGUGUUGGCCUAGCCAGGCGGUGACGGGUAGCCGGCCUGAGCGGGUGGACGGUCACACUGGGACGGAGACACGGCCCAGACUCCUACGGGAGGCAGCAGUGGGGAAUAUUGCACAAUGGGCGCAAGCCUGAUGCAGCGACGCCGCGUGAGGGAUGGAGGCCUGCGGGUUGUGAACCUCUUUCGCCAGUGAAGCAGGCCUGCCUCGUUUGUGGGUGGGUUGACGGUAGCUGGAUAAGAAGCGCCGGCUAACUACGUG